rnacentral:rRNA from 1 species
AACGAACGCUGGCGGCAGGCCUAACACAUGCAAGUCGAACGCCCCGCAAGGGGAGUGGCAGACGGGCGAGUAACACGUGGGAACCUUCCCAACAGUACGGAAUAGCCGAGGGAAACUUGGAGUAAUACCGUAUAUUCCCGAGAGGGGAGAGAUUUAUCGCUGUUGGAUGGUCCCGCGUCGGAUGAGCUAGUUGGUGAGGUAACGGUUCUCCAGGGCGACGCUCCGUAGCUGGUUUGAGUGAAUGACCAGCCACACUGGGACUGAGACACGGCCCAGACUCCAACGGGAGGCAGCAGGGGGGAAUCUUGGACAAUGGGCGCAAGCCUGAUCCAGCCAUGCCGCGUGAGUGACGAAGGCCUUAGGGUUGUAAAGCUCUUUUGCCGGGGACGAUAAUGACGGUACCAGGAGAAUAAGUCCCGGCUACCUUCGUGCCAGCCGCCGCGGUAA